UGAUCUCCCAGGCUCUAGCAAUCCUCCCACCUCAGUUUCCUGAGUAGUUGAGACCACAGGCACAAGUCAACAUGCCCAGCUAAUUUUUGUAGAGACAGGGUCUUGCUAUGUUGCCCAGGCUGGUCUUGAACUCCUGGGUUCAAGCCAUCCUCCUGCUUCAGCCUCCCAAAGUGCUGGGGUUACAGGUGUGAUCCCAGCCUAGUUUCUUCACUUCAUCCUCUCGAGACUGGGAAAUAAGUCCUACCCAUCUCCUACUCAGUUUCAUCUCAAUUGCCUUGCAAUGGAGAGAAACUGCCAAUUUGCUCUUGGAACAGCAGCAUGGCAUGAGACCUACGUGUGACAACUCUAAGAAAAAUAUUUUGGAAGUGCCAUAUAGGAUCGAUCAGGUUAGGAGACUCCACAUCAGUUUAGGACAAGGCGGCUUAACCAGAGCCUCUGGAAAGGCCACUCUCAGAUGUAGAGGCUGAAAAUCUCUUGCUUCUGUGUUAAGAA
rnacentral:lncRNA from 1 species